rnacentral:rRNA from 1 species
GACGAACGCUGGCGGCGUGCUUAACACAUGCAAGUCGAACGGUAAGGCCCUUCGGGGUACACGAGUGGCGAACGGGUGAGUAACACGUGGGUGAUCUGCCCUGCACUUCGGGAUAAGCCUGGGAAACUGGGUCUAAUACCGGAUAGGACCACUGCCUGCAUGGGGGGUGGUGGAAAGCUUUUGCGGUGUGGGAUGGGCCCGCGGCCUAUCAGCUUGUUGGUGGGGUGAUGGCCUACCAAGGCGACGACGGGUAGCCGGCCUGAGAGGGUGACCGACCACACUGGGACUGAGAUACGGCCCAGACUCCUACGGGAGGCAGCAGUGGGGAAUAUUGCACAAUGGGCGCAAGCCUGAUGCAGCGACGCCGCGUGAGGGAUGACGGCCUUCGGGUUGUAAACCUCUUUCAGCACCGACGAAGCGCAAGUGACGGUAGGUGCAGAAGAAGGACCGGCCAACUACGUGCCAGCCGCCGCAGUAA